GUGUGAAAGCACAAUGAGUCCGUGCUGCUUCAGCACCACAUACAUGACGCACACGGACUGCAGACGGAUUAUAUGUGAAACGGAAAGGCGGGUCUUUGGUAUAAAAAGACAGAACCUUCUCUAGACAUAAUCUCGCUGUAGAACAUGAACUGACGCCUUUACUGGAGCUGCUCUUGAUUUGCUCAUUUCUGGAUUAUAAACACCGGAUUAUUCUAUAAUCUUUAAGGAGACAUGACUAAGUGACUAAUGAAGGAGCGAUCUGUAUACAAAAGACAAGAAGAGAAUGAAAGAGAAAAAUGUCAAGUUAAAACCUAAAGAACCAGGAGAGGAAAAGACGCUGAUGUUAGUCAGAAGAAACAGCUUUGAUGGCUUCAAACCAAACUUUUCUCAAGAUGUUCCAGAAAAAGUGUCCGACUCUCACACAUCAUCAUCUCCAGCAGCUGAUUUCUGAUCUUCAGAUAGAGUUCAGUUUUCUGAAGAUCAACACAAAUCUGAUCAGCUUGAUCCUGAUGAGGACACAUUUCUCUCCUGAUGGGAGUGUUGUCCUCCAGGAUGAGGACACGAGGAUCACUGAAGGGUUCAGUCUCCAGAUCUAAACUCAUUUAAACAGCUGAGAGAUUGAUGAAGACAGCGCUCUGUGUGUAAUAAAGCGUUGUGCAGCACCAGUGUCAUAGAUCUGAUUCUCAGUGAAAACAUGUAAAGCUUUAAUGCAGUGAUUAUCAAACUCAUAUACUGUACACUUUUAAUGUCUCCUUACAGUAUGACACAUGCUUUUAAAGUCAUGGAGUGAACUAGAUAUGAACUAGAAAAUGAUUUUACAUAUAUAACUGUACUGAAAUAAGUACUACUCCAGGGAAUAAAACUGAUUCACACUUGUACAAAUGAAUAAAAGAAGAAUAAGUCUUUCCUUCA